GGAUAAGGUUAGAAAUCAAAGUCAUCAUGAUUCCUGAACAGUUUUACAUCCUUCCAUGUGGUUAGGAUGCUGUCUGCCUGGCUUUAAAUAAAUCAAAGACAUAGAAUGAACUGAUGUCUGGUCUUCUGCUGUAUCUCUUGAAAUAUGCAGAUCAAAUGUUGCCCACCUCUGUGAGAUGAUAGUUUCCAAGGUAGAGUGGCCUCUAGAUUGGGUUGAAGCAUUCCCCUUUUACUGUGACUUCAACUCAGAAAAUGGAGAGAUGUCUGAAUAACAAGUUUGUCAUAACAAACAUUUUCUAUAAGUGCCAAGUCUCCUACUAAAUUGCCUGCAUUUUCUUUCCAUGGAGUAAUUUUUGAAUAGAGAUAAGUCAGCUAUUUUGUUUGUCAGUACUAAUUUGAAAAAGCUAAGUUCAUUAUGUUUCAAAAGCCUUAGAUAUAACAGACCAGCUCCAGAUGACAUUGCAUCAGUGUCUUGAUGUGACACUGGGACAGAUGGAUAUCCUUGUGGAUUUCCAUUUGAACUCCCCAUUUCAUCUUACUCUCUCCCAGUUGUUUAAAAUUCUUUCAGGCUAAGAAAAAUGCAUAAACACAAUUCCAUUCCACUGAUCUUAAAAUAUGUAGAAUAGCCCCUAUAGUACUUUUCUUCCUCAUUGGAGAUGGUCUCAGCUUCUUCAGCCUCUCGUUAACGAACAUUUUCACUGACAGUAACGUCCCCAUUUCUGUCCUACACUACAUGUUCUUCAUCCUUCUUCAUGGACGAUUCCAGUGCUGCAGUGACUGCAGCUAUAUGCUGCUUUAGAAAGUGUUUAGCAAUUACAGUAAUGGUAUCAUUUGGGGAAGCUGGUAAUCAAAUUUCUGCUGCAGAAGGUUUUUGCCUCUUGUUCCUUCACGUUCUAAGAAAUUCAGUAACAGCUUUGUCCUGUUUCUAAUUUAUUCCUUAUUCCAUUUCACUCUUGUUUCUGAUGAAACAACCCCUCACAAUCUGAUAUGAGUGAAAGGCAACACAGCAUCAAAAGAAACGUUUGGCUGCCAAGCAAAAGACAAAAUGUACCAGUAGGGUGCUGUGCAUCGGCACUGCUUCCAGGAGGCAGCCGUCUUCCAGAUCUUGCCCUCAGAGAGAACACAACCAAAAUGUUUUAAUGAAGAAUACCGGCAGUUGGCUACAAGAAACCGCACUUGCUCUUUCUGCAACACCAUUUGGACUCGCAUCACUUGUGCGUGUUAAAGGGUGUUUGGAUUCCUGCCUUGCUCUUCCAGCCUUGACCACUUCUACCUGCCCUGGCCUCCCGUGGUCCCCGUGCAACUCCAGAGGAGAACUCUUGGGUAUUGCUUCCCCCUGCCAUGUAGAUCAACUGAAGCAUUCAUUUUCCAGUGAGCUUCCCAGUUGUAUUGGCACAACUUUGGGGGUGGUGGGAGGGAGCAGAGAUACAGGAGGGAAAAAGAGUGACUGGAGGCAACAAACUUCCCAGCUGGUUUCGCUGCCUAACCAGACAUGUAGAAGUGAACCUGGAACUCGCUUUGAAGUAGCUAGCUGAGCAGCAGCCUUGGUGAGCUACAGCACAGCGCAGUCACCUGCACAGCUUCUGUUUCACAAGUAGGCUCUGCAGCCUGCGCUGGUUUGGUGCCAUGACAACACUGCCUGUGGUACCUGCAAGAGCGAGUUUAAAUAUAGUUUAUCCACCGUCUCAGUGAGCUCUGGUCCAUGCAGCGCAGGCAAACAGCAAGAUGUAAUUAUGGAGUAUUCAAGUUGGAAGCUAAAUGCUCUGUUAAGGGUGCCUUUCUUUCACUUGCACAGUCCCUUUUACAGUUAUCUCUAGGGCCUGUUGACUUCAAUCCACUUGUUUUCAAAACAUGCCUGCAGGGCAGGGAAGCAGCCCUGUCCAUGUCCUGCAGGGAGAGAUCUGAAAAGCACCAGGUGUGGAAACUUGUUCACUUUGCAAGCAGCAAGGAAAGUUUGGAACUUUACUGCUCCCCUUUACUGUUCCCACCUGUUUGAGGGCACUCAGAGUGCCGCAGCUGAGCUGAUGGGCUGUGGCUCUUCAUUCUUCAGCACAAUGCUGGGCAGCUGAUGGAGGUGGCCCAAGCUAUUCUGACUUGUAUGUAAGGUGGACUGGGAACAGAAGUUAUUUUCUGCCCUACAGCCUGAACAACAGAGGCAACAGCCUCUGACUGACAAGUGCUGGUGGCCGUUGUGGGGUGAAGCACUGUCCUGAAAUGCCAGGAGCUGCUGUGCACUCGUCCUUGACAGGAAGGGCAAGCUGAGCAAACAGGGCAGAGGACGAGCGUGUGAGGUGGCCGCGGGGGAGCCAGCAGCGGGGACAGAGCUGCUCUGACUGCUCGAGAAUCUCUACGGCAACUGGGAAGGGCUGAAAGCA